rnacentral:rRNA from 1 species
CCUACGGGGUGCAGCAGUGGGGAAUAUUGGACAAUGGGGGGAACCCUGAUCCAGCCAUGCCGCGUGUGUGAAGAAGGCCCUCGGGUUGUAAAGCACUUUCAGUGAGGAAGAACGCCUGGUGGUUAAUACCCAUCAGGAAAGACAUCACUCACAGAAGAAGCACCGGCUAACUCCGUGCCAGCAGCCGCGGUAAUACGGAGGGUGCGAGCGUUAAUCGGAAUUACUGGGCGUAAAGCGCGCGUAGGUGGCUUGAUAAGCCGGUUGUGAAAGCCCCGGGCUCAACCUGGGAACGGCAUCCGGAACUGUCAAGCUAGAGUGCAGGAGAGGAAGGUAGAAUUCCCGGUGUAGCGGUGAAAUGCGUAGAGAUCGGGAGGAAUACCAGUGGCGAAGGCGGCCUUCUGGACUGACACUGACACUGAGGUGCGAAAGCGUGGGUAGCAAACAGGAUUAGAUACCCUUGUAGUC